AAAACGGUGGACAUCUCGACAACCAAUGAGCUGGUCCUAUACUGCAGGUGUAUCAAUGGUGAUGGCAAGUUUCAGGCCAACUUUCUGAAGGUUGUGGCGUUAAAAGAUGGAAAGGCCGACACUGUCAAAGCUGCCCUCAGUCACUACAUGGAGGAAAAUGAUCUGUCCAUCCAGAAGGUGGCUGGUUUUGGCUCAGAUGGAGCAGCAUGUAUGAUAGGAAAUCGAAGUGGUGUUGCCACACAGCUUAAGGAGGACAAUGCAAAGAUAGUAAGUAUCCACUGCAUUGCACACAGACUGGCCCUUGCCGUCGGACAAGCUGGUAACAAGG